AUUCUCUAGUGGCGCACGGGUGAGUAACACGUGAGUAACCUGCCCCCAAGAGUGGGAUAGCCCCGGGAAACUGGGAUUAAUACCGCAUAAAAUCGCAAGAUUAAAGCAGCAAUGCGCUUGGGGAUGGGCUCGCGUCCUAUUAGUUAGUUGGUGAGGUAACGGCUCACCAAGGCGAUGACGGGUAGCCGGUCUGAGAGGAUGUCCGGCCACACUGGAACUGAGACACGGUCCAGACACCUACGGGUGGCAGCAGUCGAGAAUCAUUCACAAUGGGGGAAACCCUGAUGGUGCGACGCCGCGUGGGGGAAUGAAGGUCUUCGGAUUGUAAACCCCUGUCAUGUGGGAGCAAAUUAAAAAGAUAGUACCACAAGAGGAAGAGACGGCUAACUCUGUGCCAGCAGCCGCGGUAAUACAGAGGUCUCAAGCGUUGUUCGGAAUCACUGGGCGUAAAGCGUGCGUAGGCGGUUUCGUAAGUCGUGUGUGAAAGGCGGGGGCUCAACCCCCGGACUGCACAUGAUACUGCGAGACUAGAGUAAUGGAGGGGGAACCGGAAUUCUCGGUGUAGCAGUGAAAUGCGUAGAUAUCGAGAGGAACACUCGUGGCGAAGGCGGGUUCCUGGACAUUAACUGACGCUGAGGCACGAAGGCCAGGGGAGCGAAAGGGAUUAGAUACCCCUGUAGUCCUGGCAGUAAAC
rnacentral:rRNA from 1 species